AAUCAACGCUGGCGGCGUGCCUCAGACAUGCAAGUCGAACGAUUAAACUUCCCUUCGGGGAAGAUAUAAAGUGGCGCACGGGUGAGUAACACGUAAGUAAUCUACCUUCGAGUGGGGAAUAACAUCGGGAAACCGAUGCUAAUACCGCAUAACGCAGCGGCACCUAAUGGUGACAGUUGUUAAAGGAGCAAUUCGCUUGAAGAGGGGCUUGCGGCAGAUUAGCUAGUUGGUAAGGUAAUGGCUUAUCAAGGCUUCGAUCUGUAUCCGGUCUAAGAGGACGGUCGGACACACUGACACUGAAGAACGGGUCAGACUCCUACGGGAGGCAGCAGUCGGGAAUUUUGGGCAAUGGGCGAAAGCCUGACCCAGCAACGCCGCGUGAAGGAUGAAGUAUUUCGGUAUGUAAACUUCGAAAGAAUGGGAAGAACUCAAUGACGGUACCAUUUAUAAGCUCCGGCUAACUACGUGCCAGCAGCCGCCGUAAUAC
rnacentral:rRNA from 1 species